CCAGUCGUAGCCGAUGUUCCACAGGAGCGGUCCCAAGACCGAUCCCUGUGGAACACCGCACGACAUG
rfam:Bombyx mori DNA, contig: Bm_scaf7_contig6594, strain: p50T/Dazao, build 2, whole genome shotgun sequence.